UUUUCACUCAUUUAUUUACUACAAAAGUGACAAACAUUGGGCCUCUGUCCUGAGGAACAGAUGAGUUUUGAAACAGAGCUGUGAGUCACUCUGUGGUUUCUUACAAACUUCUCCUUCUUGUGUGUUUAGUGAAGCUCAGGGCCACGAGAAUCCAGUGUUUCUGGGCGGAUCCCCGCAGAUAAAGACCCGGACUGUUUCUCAGAUCCUGACCCGUCAGCCCUCUGAGACCAGUCGCCACUUACUGUCGGACCCGGGAACGCCCCUCUCUCCUCCCACACAUGGCAACGUUUUCUUCCCAUCCGAAGACAUCAUCCCUGAGAAUCCAGACUUGGUGCAGAUUUAAAGCCCAUUCUUCACCUAACUGUUGACCUGGAAAGAUUCCUGCAGCUCUUCUGUUCUUCCCUUCAUUUUAAUACCAAAACUAUCCUCAUGAGCUUCACAGUAACUGCAUAAACACUUAUUGUUCCUGUCUGGAUUUGUCAUCUGUUCAUUGUCUGGACUGCAGGAGGGAGGAGCGCUGCAUUUCUGACCCACAUACCAUUUCCACCUGCAACAACAUCUGCAGGCCAACGGGUUGCAUCUGAUCUUCAGGCCAAACUCUGACAACAGCUCACAGACCUGGCUCUGCCGGUGUCUUUCAUUAACCCUGUGAGAAGUGUUGAAAGUGGGAGUCUCGCUAUUAGCAGGCAGCGAAUGAUUUACUCAGCUUUUAGAGAAAAUCAUUUAAGCAGCAAGUUCUCGUGAGCUCAAAUCCCCACAGAGUUCAAAUGCAUCAUCUGAACUCUGUUCUCUGUCAUGUGAACAGAGAACAGAGUGGUCAAAUUUAUACUCUCAAACCUCCUAUUGUGAAUGCAUCAGUUUUCUUUUGCUGGUCAUUAGAGAACUGUCAGGUAAACAGUUUCAUAAAAUAACGAGUCAUUAUAGAGUCCAUGUUCAUGUUGUGUACAGGAAUCAAACCAACAGACUCUGAAGCCCCUUUCAAAACUCUUCAAAACUUCUGGCAAUCUAUCUAUUUUCUAAAAGGACCAAAGCAGCAAGAAGGGUUAAAGUCAACCCACCACAGCUUCCAAAUAAGGGAUCAACAGGACUUAUGUAAGGGUUAGCUGGCAUUGACAGCUUCUUUUACAAAAUACUUCAAGCAAAGACUGGCCUCUUCUGGCUGGAUUUUUCUGCGAGGACUGGAGAGGUAAGACAGGUUUGGUGCCAGUCAAACUACACCUCUGAGUCGCCAACCGAGGUAACGAUGGCACUGAAAAGUUGACAAGAUUAACAGGAUGUAGCCAUCAGCUCUUUCAUCUCACAGUUUAAAGCAGGACUUGCGGCUCCAAGGUGGUAAAGGCGGCAGAAGCCAUUCUGCCGUUUUGUGCCAAGCACAGCAGAAAUACUCGAUGUACCAAAGGGUUUGGGCUUUAUGGCUCUACAGCGUUAUGUAGCAACAGUCUUAUUUUACAAACAGACAGACUCAGCUGCUCAUUUGUCAUGUUUGUGUUUGCAAACAGAACCACCAAUCAAUGCAGCGACGAUACCUCAACAGUCGACUUGUGUGAGGUUUAUUGGCUUUGCGGCCUGAGGGCGUGAAGUAGAGUUUGCAAACAUCAGUCUGUGCCACCAGAUCAACACAAGAUUUAACAUAAAACCAAACCAAGCACUUAAAUCAGACUGGGAGAGGCACCCAGUGGGGGCGUGAUGGAGCCACUGGUGGGCAGUGGGCAGAUGAGUCUGGUGCGGGUUGUUCAGGGCAGAACACAUUGGUGACCAAUGACCUAAGACAAAAACUGUGGCCUUAUUGUUUUCUAUUGAAUUUCCAAUAGAAAGGCACUGAUGUGCAUCAGAGGGACCAGUUGGUCCCAUGGCACUCCCCAGUAUCCAUUCCCCAGUAAGAAGAAACCUAUUGACGGGAGGUUGUAUGAGACACUUGUUGUUUUAUGAUACAACUGUUUUGUGAAAGAGGUUUUAGGUGUGAUGAGACCAAAUAUUCUCCAAAACGUGGCAUUACGUUUCUUUUUGUAUAAUUUCUUUGAAUUUCUUUCUGCCUUUGUGCUACCUCAGACACGUACCGCUUCUGUUUCUCUGAAUACUUUCCUUCCGUCCUGUACUUUUUACAACUUUUACAAGCCUUAAACAUACUUGUAUAAUUAAAAAUAGAUUUAAUUUUUAGAGGAAGAUUUAAUUGUUGUCUCUGUGUAUAAUUAUGGUGAAAAAAAAUCAUUUGUUUUUCUUGAAUGUAGCGUCAUAGAUACUACCGAAACAAACAAACAGAAAAUCUUCCAGGAGUUGAACUCGCUGCCGUUCAGACACUUCCUCUGGAUUUCACUGUGUUUAUGUCUAUCAGGGUAAAGGUUCAAUCCUACUUUUUUAUGUUUGCAAUGAGGUCUGAUAAGCCAAAACUGUUAAAUGCUUUGAAAUGUCAGUCGUAGCGACGCUGAGGUGUUGCUGCAUCACAUUGACUGUUAACUCACUGGUAGCGGAAAUCAUCUGAAGAAGAAAAUGUCUAACAGGUUUAUAGGACAGAGUAACAUUUUGUUUCGUUUAGACGUGAGCCUGCUUACGAGUUUAUGGGUGUAUAUUUGUGUGUAAAGAAGGGAUUAAAGUUUUAAGAAUUGAUUUCUGGUUUCCCUGAAAAAUAAUGUUUGUAUGCUUGAUGACUUUUAUAUUGUACCUGUGUGUUUUUAUACUGUAAAAAGCUUGCAUGAGGGGAUGGUUCUUGCUUCUAAACAGCCCUGUUGUUAUUCUGUACAAUAAAAAUGAAACUCUCGAA